CCGCUUUCCGUGAUGUGGCAGUAGUACUCUGCGCAUGCCUGGGCUGUUGCUAGGGGGUCGUUUCUGCCUCUUGGUGGUCGUCGAGGCUGAAGUAAGACGUCUUCCUCGGGUGUCCAUUCCGUGACUUCCUGCCCUGUGGCUCUAGUGAGAUAUUC